rnacentral:rRNA from 1 species
AUGGCGUCGAUGUAUCAGGCUUCUACGGCGCAAGAGCCCGUGGUGUUCCCCCUGUCCGGCCCGCCGGUGUGCGUUUGCUUCGGGCACUCCUUGCAACGAGGGUGCCUGCGCUCCGUGCAUGACCAGAAAACGGGUGCCAGUUCCAUCCAACUAAGCGACGACGAUGUCGUCCGCCGCAACAGAACCCCGGCCGAGAAGUUCUACCUGGAGCCGUCCAAGCAACACCAGGGGCUCGUGCACGUCCGGUGCUCCGACGGAGACAAAUACUGGGUCCCCCAGGCCCAGCAGCAUGGCGGCGGCGGCGGCAGUACUCCGUGGUUCAUCGCCGCCACCGCGGAUGAACCAGAGGAAGAUCUGACCAAGCCAUCAUGUACCUUGUUCCAGUUCUACGCCAGUUCUGGCGCCGGUCUCUUCAGUCUCAGUCAUUCCCACCUGAAGAAAUAUGCUGGCAUGCUUUCUGUGUCUGGAGGAGGCAAAACCUACUUGCAAAUAAUGGAUAGUUGUGAUAAGAAUAUGUUUCGUGUUCGUCGCCUGUCGCAGCAGAAGGAAUUGCCAAAGUAUGUUGCUUUCAAAGGCGACAAUGGCAAGUACCUCAGAGAACCGUCUCACUAUGAGCAGCCGCAGCAGUUUUCGGCGUCUGACAUCAAAGAUCAAGAUGUGGUCUAUGAGACUUUCACGGAUGACUAUGGUGUCGUUCGUAUAAAAAGCAAUGGCUCAGGCAGGGUUUUGAAAUCUUUCCCCGGCGAAGAUGGUAUUCCGAUUGCUAGUGUGAAGGAUGCUGGCUUUCAAUUCAACUCAGACAUACCAGAAGACACCAUCUACAAGGAUGUUGACACAUUGUUUAAGGUGGUCUUCAAGGAUGGGAACAACAUUGCACUCCAAAACAUUGGCAACGGUAAAUUCUGCAAGAAUCUAAACUUGCCUGGAGGCUGGAUCAGUUUCCUCUCUGCAUCUGCCGCCAACAGCAAUACGAGAGAAGCAACAUUCCAGAUUGAAGAACCAGUUAAAUCUCGAGAAAUCUAUGAUGUUGAGUACCGGGUCGGUGGAGUUAAGACUAGCUCCAACCAAAAGGUCACUAGGACCGAGGUGCUUGCUACCAAUAGAACACACGAAAGCCACACUGCCCAAACUAGCAUCGAAAUGUUUGACAGAACAGAGAGUCAAUGGGAUGCAAAGUUAACACUCGACGCAGGUAUCAAAACGAAGUUGUCCGCUGGCUUGCCAUUCAUGAUGGAAGAUGAAUCGGCAAUGGAUGUACGGUCCCCGACUCUCCGGCGAGUUCAUUACGGGUUUGAAAGAUUUCCUCGUAGUGGCAAAUGCGAACAAGCAGCGAGGUUUUAUUAUCUGUCCAUGUGCUGUCUGUAA